rnacentral:rRNA from 1 species
CACGUAGGGUGCGAGCGUUGUCCGGAAUUAUUGGGCGUAAAGAGCUUGUAGGCGGUCUGUCGCGUCUGCUGUGAAAAUCCGGGGCUCAACCCCGGACUUGCAGUGGGUACGGGCAGACUAGAGUGUGGUAGGGGAGACUGGAAUUCCUGGUGUAGCGGUGAAAUGCGCAGAUAUCAGGAGGAACACCGAUGGCGAAGGCAGGUCUCUGGGCCACUACUGACGCUGAGAAGCGAAAGCAUGGGGAGCGAACAGG